GGGUACCUACGGGGGGCAGCAGUGAGGAAUAUUGGUCAAUGGGCGGGAGCCUGAACCAGCCAAGUCGCGUGAGGGACGACGGUCCUAUGGAUUGUAAACCUCUUUUGUCGGGGAACAAAGGCGUCCACGGGUGGGCGGAUGAGUGUACCCGAAGAAAAAGCAUCGGCUAACUCCGUGCCAGCAGCCGCGGUAAUACGGAGGAUGCGAGCGUUAUCCGGAUUUAUUGGGUUUAAAGGGUGCGUAGGCGGUUUUUUAAGUUAGUGGUUAAACGUCGGGGCUUCACCUUGAUUUGCCAUUACUA
rnacentral:rRNA from 1 species